CUGCUCUCUCUCUCUCUCUCUCUCUCUCUCUCUCUCUCAUGUGAAAACUGCAGUUUGUUUAUAUUUUCGUACUAGUCCAGUUUCAGUCCGAGAUGUUUUUUUGCAUGUCUAUACAUGCAUAAAUGUGAUUCUAGCAUGUUCAUCUUUGAGAGUUGUUUCUGUAAUUUUAUUGAGUCAAAAAGGAUCAACAGCUUAGGUUGUAAAGCCUGAGAGGCUGAGACUGUUUGAAGUUUAAUGGUUGGUGGUAGGUCCUUCCUUCUGCAAUUGGUGGUAAAGUUGGUUACUAGUUACUAGUUAGAAUGGGAAUUGGGUUGGGUUCAAACUAUUGUUGCCUGGUUCCACCUCAGAUAACUUCCAGAAUUCUAUAUAUCUGUCACGUUUUCUUCUUUUCCCCAAGAUUAGAUUAUAAGCAUAGGCAACGAAGAAAAGGAAAAUGCAGGUCUACAAGCCAUAGUAUAAAACGGCUUGAUGCUUGCACAGUCUCACUUUAUAUAUCCCACUCAAUUCAUUACAUUUUUCUACAGACGCAAAAGAAAGGAGCGCCUUACUCUAUGUGAGGACAAGGAAACUCCAGCUAACACCACCAAUGUCGCCAUGGCCGGUUCUGUCAAGGUAAUACUUUUAUCAUCUCUCCUCCAUUGAUAAUCUAUAAUUGUCAUCCAUUUGUCUGCUCAAAAGUUUCGGAAAAUAACUCCAUAUCCUCACAUUACAUUCUUGCAAAUUAAUGUGUCAAAUUGAAAGACUAGAUGAUAAAGUUUCUAUGCAGCAUGUGUACAGCAUAAGGCGAGUGAAGCAUAAGAUAGGUUCAGGGUCAGAUGAAGCAGAUGGUCUUGGCAUACUGAUUGAGGACAAGAAAAUGGAUAUUAAGGGUGAGUAUAAUUGCUUGCAUUUGAGCUAUUUUAAUGUCCAAGAAGUUCAUUUUGUAGUUGCUUUUCAAUGAACUUAUUAUUUGAAUCUGAUUGUGGUUUGAUGUAGAGCCUCAUGAUGUUCCAGCUACUGCCCUCAUGGCCGAGCCCGUCCCUGCUCCUAAGGCUGCUGACUCUGUGCCUGCAACCCAGUUCCAUCAUUUGUCAGAUGAGAUGCUACCAUCACCACUGAAGAAAAUAAGUCCUCGCCAUCUCCAAGAUGGAGAAGUGUACCGAGGUGAGGCCCAAACUCUCUUGUAUACCAAGGUGAUAGUCGUAAGUCUAAUUUACGGGAGAGGUAGAUUCAAACUUGUGUACGAGGUGAUGUUGAUGCAAAUAUUUGUUGGAUUCUUUAGGUGGUAAAAGGAUGAAACGAUGAUGCCGUGUUGGAAAAUAAUCAAAGAAGAAAAGAGCCCAAAAGAAGCCUGAAACUUGAAUGGACUAGUCUGAGGCUUUGACCCCAAAUUUACAACAUGUAGACAUAAAUCUAGCCCAUAUUGUCAAAUUUCUAUUUUUUUUGGGUUUGUAGCCCAUAGUUAUUGAGGCUAAUAAUAAUGCGACACGUGGCACCACAUCGCUGUCGUUGGUUCCACAAUUAAAGGCUUUAAUCCAUGAAGUGAAAGGGAUUUGAGAUCGAACAAAAACACAACACAAACCCAUUACUUGUCCUAUUCUUGGAUGCAAGUCAUUAUAUAAGGAGGGCCCCAUAUAUGGCUUUUAGGUGAGGUCAUAUCUCUUAAUUGUUGAAUUAAAUUAGCUAAUUUGAUAUGACGACUAACCAAUUUGAUCUAUGCAUACAAUGAGAAGUUUUUUUUUUUUUUUUGAGGACCAUUCCUAUUGAAAAGAGUAAUAGCAUAUUAAACUCAUACACACAACACGGAUGCUAGGACUCGAACCCAGAACUUUGUCUGAGGGAGUAAAUACUUUAAACUAUUACACUAGUGGGUCCUUUGCGCAUACAAUGAGGAGUUAAAAUAGUUGAUUUGGAACCUUUAGUUAGCGUCAUCCUUGGAAUAGAUGUCUACAUAUCUCUUAUUGGUCUAUCAUUAAUUCAAUGCUACAAGUAAGACUGAGUUAAAUAGUUUAUUUGGAUCCUUACACGCCAAGGGAUGAUGACAAUUUUAAUGAGAGAACUUUGGUGACAUGAACUCUGCUCCAAAUAAAAAGAUGUGGGGGUGGCAAUAAAUAGGAAGCAAAUAAAAACUGGCCUAAAUAGUAACCAUUUAUCCCAUACAUAAAUCUAUAAUGUGUUUUUGGUUGAGCAAACAAAAAUCUAACUCAUGCUCGUGUUCGUAACGAAAAAAAUAUUGUAUGAUACUGGAAUAAAGACCCUCCUCAUAGCGAUGCUCAUAGACUCAGUAACUGUACUCUCCUCCACUAAAGAGUUUUAUUAUCUCUCUCUAAUGGGUCCUCUUAAAAAGUGAUUUUCACACGGAGACAGAGAGGAGGCCUAUCGCAGAAGAAAACAAAGAGUCAAAGUGAUGAUAUGGGUUGAAUCCAUAGCCAUACUUUCGAAAAAAGCAAAGAAAUAAAUAGUAAAUUUCUGGUGGAUUUGGAAAUCAAGAAAGAAAAUCACUGUAGUGAAAGAAAAAGAAAUUGGUGGUGGGAAAUCACGUGCAUAUCACGUGGGAGAAACCAGACAAAUGGAAAUGGUCAGCUGAGUCAUUGAGUGUGUCUUAUUUGGCGCCACCUGACUAGUUAAUUCAGUUAAUGGCACCACCAAUGUGCCCCACUUGUCCCAUUUCAUUUCACCCCUAAAAUUAAUCUUCAAUUAAAUGGAAAUUAAUUAAUUUCUGUCCUGCCCCUCUCUCUCUCCCAAAGGCUCUAACCAAUCACACACCACCACACUCACUCUCUCUCCUUUUUCUCAUUUCAUGCUCAUCUUCAGCUACAGCUUCAGCUUCAUCAUCACCCCUUUCAAACCCUAACCCUCCGAACCCGAAUUCCCCAUGGCCUCCUCCCCUAACCACCACCAUAACCACACUCCCAACGGGGACAGAAAAACCCACGUACCCAAAAAGCCCAAACUCUCCCCUGCUUUCAUCACAGCCUCUGAAAUCGCCUCCGAAUUUUCUCACCAUGACCCCAAUAUCGCCCGAAUCAACAACGGAAGCUUCGGCAGCUGCCCGGCCUUCAUUAUCGAAGCUCAGAGACAAUGGCAGCUCAAGUACCUGGCCCAGCCUGACCAUUUCUACUUCAACGAGCUCACGAAGGGAAUUCACCAAUCCAGAACCAUCAUCAAGGAUCUCAUCAAUGCCGACCAUGUCGAAGAGGUCUCAAUCGUCGACAACGCCACCACUGCAGCCGCCAUAGUGCUUCAACAGGCCGCUUGGGGAUUUUCAGAGAGCAAAUUCGACAAAGGGGAUGCUGUGGUUAUGCUUCAUUAUGCUUAUGGUUCUGUGAAGAAGUCGAUUGAGGCCUACAUAAGUCGUGCUGGUGGGUAUGUGAUUGAAGUCCCUUUGCCUUUUCCUUUGACCUCUAAUGAUGAGAUUAUCACUGAAUUUAAGAAAGCUUUGGAGAAAGGGAAGGCCAAUGGUAGGAGGGUUAGGCUAGCUGUGAUUGAUCAUAUUACUUCAAUGCCUUGUGUGGUUAUACCUGUUCGAGAAUUGGUUAAGAUUUGUAGGGAAGAGGGAGUUGACCAGGUUUUUGUAGAUGCUGCUCAUAGUAUUGGGUGUACUGAUGUCGAUAUGAAGCUAAUUGGGGCUGAUUAUUAUACUAGUAAUUUGCAUAAGUGGUUUUUUUGCCCGCCGGCUAUUGCGUUUUUGUAUUGUAGGAAGUCCCCCAAGUGUCCAGAGCUGCACCAUCCUGUUGUUUCUCAUGAGUAUGGUAAUGGGUUGGCCAUAGAAAGUGCUUGGAUUGGGACUAGGGAUUACAGUCCUCAAUUGGUUGUUCCUUCGGUUUUGGAUUUUGUCAAUAGGUUUGAAGGUGGUAUUGAGGGCAUCAAAAAGAGGAACCAUGAGACUGUUGUUGAGAUGGGGAACAUGUUGGCCAAGGCAUGGGGAACACAUCUAGGGUGCCCCCCGGAGAUGUGCGCCAGCAUGAUCAUGAUUGGAUUACCGGCUUGUUUGGGGAUUUCAAGUGAGAAGGAUACUCAAAAGUUAAGGACACAUUUGAGGGAGAAGUUUGGUGUUGAAGUCCCAAUAUAUUUCCGAGCACCCAAGAAUGGGGAGGUUGAGUCAAUAACUGGGUAUUGUCGAAUUUCUCAUCAAGUCUACAACAAAGUUGAUGACUAUUACAAGUUCAGAGACGCAAUUAAUCAACUUGUUUCCGAGGGGUUCACUUGUGCUUCACUACUUUCUAACUGAUGAUGUAUCCUCUGCUUUCAAGCAUUUUAAUUGUUUUAAAGUAAGAAAUACUAAAAAGUGUAAUUUCCUUGUUGUUUGGCUUUCCAAUAUGAAGAUCCAUAUCCCUUCCAUUUUCCCUUUUGCAUCAAGAAUCAGGUUCUCCCUGUCUUAUACUGAGAUUGAAAUGCUAGUUAAAUAUUGUGAUGAACCCAAGUGGUCUUACUACCAUUUCCAGAAGUGCAAUUAUAGUUAACUGGUGUUUCUUGCUUUGGUAGUCAGUAUAUUUGUGUCUAUAGGCUAUGGUGGUAGAUAAUGAGGUGAUUUGGUCAGAACUUAGAAGAUGUUUAUUUGCAGGGCAAAAGUAAUAUUGUAUAACGAUUGUUAGCUAUCAAAUAUGAGGCUUAUUGCUUAACAAUUCUUUUCUGGAUAACUUGUAUCCCUAGAAUUGCCCUAUGUCUGCUUGCAGUUUAUGAUAUGCAAGGAGGAGCUUUAUUUGUGUUAUUUGGUACCUUUAAAAGGCUUGCUUGGGUGAGCCAUUCUGAGUACACCCAGUGAUUGGAGAUUUUCUGUGGAAAUUUGUGCAGUAUUUUGUGAAUGCGUGUUAAUUAGUUUUAAGUUGUUUUUGACAUGUAACUUUCUGUAUAUUUGUAGUCUGACAAAGCACUGAAGAAGUUCUUCUGAUGAAUAACAUCCAUGGUUAUCUGCCUCGCCUGCGUGCCUCAGUAGUUGCAAUGGUUUCGGUACCAUUAAAUCCUAAAAUUAGUAGAAAAUAGACUGCUGGGUGCAUGUAUCAAAGCAGAAACAAUUUUCUUCAUGGUUUUUGGUGUUUUGGAUUCCUGGAGAUGUUAACUGUCUGUUGAACACUGUCGGAGUUGUUGUUGUUGUAAAUGUUUAAUGACUAUUUGUCAUCAUUUGCAUGCUUAUUUAACUCUUACAUAGUUUUCAUUUAAGACAAACUUCAUAUCUGUUGCAUCAAUGUUUAUUGUGGUAAGAGUAAGACCUGCCAGCUUAUAUUGCCAAUUGCAAUUGCAAUUGCCUUGUCAUGGAUCAUCAACUAGGGAUUGUUAGUUUGAUUUCUUUUUUUGUUUUUUUCAAUAUAGCAUUUGCACAGUUGUCUCCUGCAAAUUAUUGUUGCACUUCAUGAUGGCUGGUGAUUAUUUGCUUUUUUCAAGUGGUGACUAUUCUUUAGUUAGGGCAUGUUGCAACUAUCUGAGGGGGAUAUUUUUAUGUAAAUAUGGCUACUAGAUGUACUGAAAUUUUGCACCUUGAGAAGACUUGACUGGAGGAGGGUGUAUCCACCAUGGACCACCCCCCACCACCCAUAUGCUGGAUCUGAAAAGAAUUGUUUUUUAAAAUGUUAAUAUUGAAAAGGCAAGACAAAGAACCGACUGGUCUCCAGAUUCUCCACUAUUCUUUCUGCCUUAAGUUGGCUAUCUUGAUUUUAUUCCGAUUUCUUGUGCCUUUUGGUUUGAUCAUAUUCAUAUUCCUCUGGAUUCUUCUCAUUCAUAUUCCUCUUUUAUAUUCACUUGUUAACGGGGUUUUGAAUCUGAAAUCUUUGCUGGCUCGUUCUAGGAUUUAUUCUUAUUCCCCGCAUUUCAUUUUCAGCUACAUCCACUGGCGCGGCGACAGCCGCCGCAAUUUAAGAAAGCAAAUGUUUUAUCUCAAAGUUAGCAGCCUAUUCAAAAUUCAUAGGUGCUGUUGAUUGUGUUUUCGUAAGUUUGAAGCAAGCAUUCGUAGUAGAUAAAUGAGUUGAGUAGGCAAUCCUAUGAGGGCUCUUUUAGUCUCUCACGCUUCAUAAUACCAUUAGAUGAAGCAACAUUUGACAAACAUGACUAGACAGGCAAUUUUCAUUUUUAUGAUGAGAAAAAAAAGAGUGGUGAUUUCUCCACUCCAAUUUUAUCCACUUACACUCCAUUUUAUAAAUAAAAAAGGAGUGUAAGUGGAUAAAAUUAGAGUGGGGAAAUCAUUACCCAAAAAAAAUUGUUAAUCCCACCCGAAUUAUCCAUUAUAAAGAGGUACGUUACGGUCAGUCGUCCACCAUAUGAGUCAUCAUCUAGCACCAAAGGCCCUACCAUUUCAUUUCAUCUCAUUAUCGCCAGACAUCAAAUCAUUUGAGAACAUUCUUAGGACUAGGAUUCAUGAUGAUUUACUCGUUACUCAUUUGGCAUGUCAUUUCUGCAAAAGAAAACGUUGAAGAGCGAUGAAGCGAAAAUCAAACGGCUUUUGAACUAAUUGAAGCAAACAGGGAAACUUUUCUCAACCCCUGAAUGCGACCCCAUGUUUAUCUAUCCAACGCGAACACCACGAAUAUGAAAACCUUGUCUACAUCGACACCCACACAACAAAAUAGAACAUGUUAUAUUAUCCACCGCCAUUAAUUUCGUGAAGUAUUUGUGUCCUGGAUGGAUUAGAUUGAAAAGACAAGAUUGCACGCAUAUUCUCGAACUCAGACAACACACAUGUUUGAAAUUUCCCAUUCAAACCCACGUAAUAAUAAAGACAAGUGAGUUUGGUGAUUGGUCUUUGUCAUGAGUCAUGACAACCAUUGAUACAUCACGAGCUCGGUAGAGGAACCUAUCCACACAAUUUUAAUUUUAUAUGAGUAGUAUUUAAAUUAUUUUAAAUUAAGUUCAUUUACGAGAAAGGAGAUUCACACUUAAUUGCAAGAGAAGGCGCAAAAAUAUGUUGACAUACAUAUUUAUAAGUUAUUAAAAUAAUGUUUUUCUUGCCACAAAGGUAAAACCUAUCACUUGUCGAGAUUAAUAAAAGUCAUGAUUUUUUUAGUUCAACUCCAUGCAUAAUAGCCAAAUUCAAGCCACAUUCAAAAACAUGAUAAAAUUGAAGAUGAGUUUAAACAUCUGAAAAUUCAUAUAGCAAGCAAACUUAAGACUUUCUUCUGCUGGCCCAAAUCUUCAGAUAAGAUUAAGAUUCCAUUCAAAUCAACGCAACCAUCUGUUGAUUUUCUAUAUAAUCAACUUAAACCUCCCUAAUGUCACAUAUAAAAGCGGGUGAUUUGUUCCUAGCUCUCUCGUAUAAGUUUUUUUUUUCUUUCCUUUUUGGGUAAAAGCUCUCUUGUAUAAGUUGAAUAAUGACUGGGAAUGCAGGAUCAUCUACGCAAGAAAACCACUUUCGACAACGGCUAAGGGUACUUAUUAAGAAUCAUGUUUACUUAAUUCUUGCCUUACCAAUACAUUUAGCUCUGAUCCUCAUUUGCUAAUGUUUUUGUUGUGCAUGCAUGGUUGUGUUUUGAGCGACGCAGGUCAUGGCCGAGAAGAUUGUUAUAUUUUGCCGUUACUACGUUCCACUUAUUGUUCUUCUUCCUUAUCGAACCCUCCAAUUCUUCUACCAAAUCAAAACCCAAGUUCCCAUUGAGCCAAAACACUCUUCUUCCUUCAUCACAGACUCCGAAAUCCAAUCCGAAUUUGCUCACCAUGCUCCUGGUGUUGCCAUGAUGAACAAUGGCAGCUUUGGUUGCUGCCCUGCUUCUGUCAUCUCUGCCUUGCAUCAAUGGCAGCUCAAAAUGUUCCGCCAGCCGAGCCAUUUCUUAUUGAAUGAGCUCAAGAACAGGAUACUUGAAUCAAGAACCAUAAUUAAAGACCAUAUCAACGCAGAAGAUGUGGAUGAAGUCUCCAUUGUAGACAACAUCUCCACUGCUGCUGCCAUAGUCCUGCAGCAAACAGCAUGGGCCUUUGCUGAAGGGAAAUUCAACAAAGGGGAUGCUGUCAUUAUGUUUAGCUGCACUUACGGUGCGGUGAAGAACUCAAUCGAGGCCUACUUUUCACGUGCUGGUGGGUCCGUUAUCGAAGUUCCAUUUAACUUUCCAUUGAAUUCCAAUGAAGAAAUCAUAAGUGAAUUUAGGAAAGCAUUGGAGAGAGAAAAGGGUAAUGGUAGGAGAGUGAGAUUGGCUGUGAUUGAUCAUGUUACAUGUGUGCCAACUGUUGUAAUGCCAGUUAAGCAAUUGGUUAAAAUCUGUAGGGAUGAAGGUGUUGAACAAGUGUUCAUAGAUGCAGCUCAUGCUGUUGGGAGCGUAGAUGUUGAUAUGCAAGAAAUUGGGGCAGAUUUUUAUGCUAGUACUUUGUAUAAGUGGUUCUUCUGCCCGCCUGUUGUUUCAUUUCUGUAUUGUAGGAAAUCAGCUACACAUUCAGAUUUGGAAUUGCAUCACCCUAUUGUGUCUCAUAGGUAUGGUAAGGGGUUGGCUGAAGAAAGUUUUUGGGUUGGGACAAGGGAUUAUAGUCCAUAUCUGGUGCUUCCUUCAGUUAUGGAGUUCGUUAACAGGUUCGAAGGCGGUCUUAAGGGAAUCAUAAAAAGGAAUCAUGAUGCUGUUGUUGAGAUGGGGAAGAUGUUGGCAGAAGCUUGGGGAACCAAUCUAGGGUGUCCUCCUGAUAUGUGCGCUAGCAUGAUCAUGGUAGGGUUACCGGCUUGUUUGGGGAUUUCAAGUGAUGAUGAUGCUACGAAGUUAAGGCCACAUUUAUGUGAUAAAUUUGGUGUUGAAGUCAGAAUACAUUAUCAAGCUCCCAAAGAUGGAGAGGUUGGAUCAACGACGGGGUAUGUUCGAAUUUGUCAUCAGAUUUACAACAAAGUUGAUGACUAUUACAAGCUCAGAGAUGCAGUUAAUCAACUAGUUCGUGAUGGAUUCACUUGCGCUCUUGAGGUAUGUAUAUGCUCUGCCUUCAUCCAGUUUAUUGGUUUGUAAGCUAGACAUACUAUACACUGCAACUUGCUAAAUUUGGUUUGCUUACUUGUUAUUGACAUGGGAUUUUACGUUAAUCUGUAGAUCAAUGAGGCCUGAACUCCGUUCGAUGAAAAAAAGAAGCUAUAUGGUCCUAUAUCCUGCAUGCUUUGCUAGUUGUGCAAUGGAUUUUGUACCAUUAACUUCUGAAGUGCUCCUGAGCAAACAAGUAUAUAUAUAGAGAAGUUCAUGAAUUUUCAGUUUGAUAUGCAGAAAAGUUCAUGUAUGAAUACAUUAACAAUUAUCUGUCGGUUUGGUUGUGAUUCGCAGAGAUUAGGACUCGAUUUGAACACAGCACCUCAUGCAAUCAGUUUGACAAUAAGUGAAACACAAUGUGUGCUUGAACAACAAGACUUACCUGAAAGCACUUGCACUCCUUUGCAGUUUUAUAAUAAGCAAUUGUAACUGAUGCAUUCCUUAAAAGCCCUUCAAUUAUUUACUCUUCAUCUUUCUAAUAUAAUGUGUUAAACUGUCUCUUUGAGCUCAGUGAUUUAAUCCCAGAACUUUUAAGUUACCGUGCCCACUUGAACUAUAUGAGUGUUACUACAAAUGGUAUCAGUUCAGCCAUAAGCUGCAUUUGUUAAUAAGCUGAUAUAUUUACUAAAGUGAUGUUUUUCUUGCCACAAAGGCAAACCUAAAUCCAUGGUUCUCUAGCGUUCCAUUUUCCAUGCAUAAUUUCCAGCACAUCACAUGUAGAUAGCCAGAUUCAAAAGCAUGAAAAUAUGGAAGUUGACUUUAGAUUAAUACACCAAACUUUAUAAGAUUGUCUUUUGGUGACCCAAAUCUUAAAAUCAACGUCAUAAUCCUUUAUUUUUCUCCCUAAUCAAUUUAAACCUCCCUAAUGUCAUAUAUAAAACAAGUGAUUUUGGUCGUAGCUCUCUUGUCUUUUGUAGUCAAGACAAGCAUUGAGACAUAUCAAGAGUCCGCAAGAAUAUUACAAAUUAAUAAGUUGAACAAUGACUAUGAAUGAGAGAUCAUUAACGCCCAAUUUCAACAAACGCUUAAGGUACUUAAAAUCAUCAUGUUCAAUUAAUUCUUGCCUCGACAAUACAAUCGGCGCUGAUCCUCAUUAAUUUGCUAAUGUCUUUGUUGUGUAUGGUUCUGGUUUGAGUGAGCAGGUCAUGGCUAAAAAGAUUAUUAUGUUUUGCCGCCACUAUGUUCCACCUAUUCUUCUCCUUCCUUAUCAAACCUUCCAAUUCCUCUACCCCAAGCUUUCAUUUCAAGUCUCAAGGGCCUCUAACCACCAUUUCCACAACCUCAAAGCUGAUGAAAUCCAAACCCAUGUUCCCAUUGAGACAAAACUCUCUUCUUCCUUCAUCACAGACUCCGAAAUCCAAUCUGAAUUUGCUCACCAUGCUCCUGGUGUUGCCAGGAUGAACAAUGGCAGCUUUGGUUGCUGCCCUGCUUCUAUCAUCUCUGACUUACAUCAAUGGCAGCUCAAAUUGCUCCGCCAGCCGGACCAUUUCUACCUGAAUGAGCUCCAGAACAGGAUACUCGAAUCAAGAACCGUAGUUAAAGACCUUAUCAAUGCAGAAGAUGUGGAUGAAGUCUCCAUUGUAGACAAUGUCUCCACUGCUGUAGCCAUAGUCCUGCAGCAGACGGCAUGGGCCUUUGCUGAAAGGAAAUUCAACCAAGGGGAUGCUCUCAUUAUGUUUCACUGUGCUUAUGGAGCGGUGAAGAACUCAAUCAAGGCCUACUUUCUGCGUGCUGGUGGGUACGUUAUCGAAGUUCCAUUUAAAUUUCCGCUGAAUUCCAAUGAAGAAAUCAUAAGUGAAUUUAGGAAAGCAUUGGAGAGAGAAAAGGGUAAUGGUAGGAGAGUGAGAUUAGCUGUGAUUGAUCAUGUCACAUGCAUGCCAAGUGUUAUAAUGCCAGUUAAGCAUUUGGUCAAAAUUUGUAGGGAAGAAGGUGUCGAACAAGUUUUAAUAGAUGCAGCUCAUGGUGUUGGGUGCAUAGAUGUUGAUAUGCAAGAAAUUGGGGCAGAUUUUUAUACUAGCAAUUUGUAUAAGUGGUUCUUUUGCCCACCUGCAGUUGCAUUUCUGUAUUGUAGGAAGUCAGUGACAAAUUCAGAUUUGCAAUUGCAUCACCCUGUGGUGUCUCAUGAGUAUGGCAAUGGGUUGGCUAAAGAAACUGGUUGGGUUGGGACAAGGGAUUACAGUCCUUAUCUGGUGCUUCCUUCAGUUAUGGAGUUUGUCAAUAGGUUCGAAGGCGGUGUUGAGGGGAUCAGAAAAAUGAAUCAUGAUGCUGUUGUUGAGAUGGGGAAGAUGUUGGCAGAAGCUUGGGGAACCAAUCUAGGCUGUCCUCCUGAUAUGUGUGCUAGCAUGAUCAUGGUUGGUUUGCCAGCUUGUUUGGGGAUUUCAAGUGAUGAUGAUGCUAUAAAGUUAUGGGCACGUUUAUGCAAGAAAUUUGGUGUUGAAGUCAAGAUACAUUAUCAAGCUCCCAAAGAUGCCGAGGUUGCGCCGACAACAGGGUAUGUUCGAAUUUGUCAUCAGAUUUACAACAAAGUUGAUGACUAUAACAAGCUCAGAGAUGCAAUUAAUCAACUCGUUCGUGACGGUUUCACUUGCGCUCUUGAGGUAUAUAUAUGCUCUGCCUUCAUCCACUUUAUUGGUUUAUAAGCUAGACGUACUACACACUGCAGUUUCCUGAAUUUGGUUUGCUAACUUGUUAUUGACAUGGGAUAUCAUGUUGAUCUGCAGAUCAAUGAGGCCUGAAGAAGUCUGUUCGAUGAAUAAAAGGAGCUGUAGUUCUCUGUGUCCUACAUCCUUUGCUAGCUGCAAUGGUUUUGGUACAAUUAAGUCCAAAAGUGCUCCUUCAGAGGCAAAAAAACUAUACAGAAAGUUCAUGAACAUUUCUUUUUUCUUUUUUCGGUUUGAUAUGUAGAAAACUUCAUGUAUGAAUACAUAAACAAUUGUCUGUCAGCUUCAAGGAAUGUAAUUUCCAGAUAUGUUUACCGACCAAUGGGCUCCAUUUGAGAAUCUGUGAAAACCCAAGAACUUAAACAACCAACAAGAUUAACCUAAAAAUACUUGCCCUUUACACUUUCUCCUUUACCUUUUAUAAACAGCAAUUCUAACCCUAAAAGGCGUUCAAAGAAUUACUCUCCAGCUUUAUAAUAUAGUGUUAAAGUGUCAUCUUUAUAAGUUGGUGAGCACACCAACAAGUGGGUCAGCAUUUAUAAUGAAUAUAGCUUAACGAGUGCUAUCAGUUCAAGGCCUCUAGGAAGCCACAAGCUUUCAUAGAUGAAUAUAGCUUAACGAGUGCUAUCAGCAUUUGUAAUAGAUAUUUCAAGAAAGGGCUGCUCUCUCCAACUUAAUAAUUGAAAUUUAGGGAAACAAGUCUGAGCUUCAAAAUAUGAAGCAGACCUCUGAGCUCUUAUUCCCUAUUUAUCAUUCUCUUUCUCGUAUCUUCGUAUAUUAAUUUCUUGUGGUACUUUGCUGCUAGUAUUAUCAUCAAAUUCCAACAUCAUCCGCGAAAGAAAACUACUUUCGACAACGGCUUAGGGUACUUACUAAAAAUCAUGUUUAAUUAAUUCUUGCCUCAACAAUACAUUUGGCUCUGAUCCUCAUUUUUUAUUGUUUUUUUUUUUUUGUUGUGCAUGCAUGGUUGUGUUUUUUAGUAACGCAGGUCAUGGCUGAGAAGAUUAUUAUGUUUUGCCGUUACUAUGUUCUACUUAUUGUUCUUCUUCCUUAUCGAACCCUCCAAUUCUUCUACCACAAGCUUUCAUUCCAAGUCUCAAGGGCCUCUAACCUAGAUGCUGCUGAGGGCAUCGAAAACCAUGCUCCCAUUGAGCCAAAGCUUUCUUCUUCCUUCAUCACAGACUCCCAAAUCCAAUCUGAAUUUGCUCACCAUGCUCCUGGUGUUGCCAUGAUGAACAAUGGCAGCUUUGGUUGCUGCCCUGCUUCUGUCAUCUCUGCCUUGCAACAAUGGCAGCUCAAAAUGCUCCGCCAGCCGUGCAAUUUCUUCUUGAAUGAUCUCCAGAACAGGAUACUUGAAUCAAGAACCAUAAUUAAAGACCUUAUCAAC
rnacentral:lncRNA from 1 species